GCUGCGCCCCCGCGCGGCCGGAGCGGGGAGAGGCGGCACCUGCCACCCCCACAGCCCUCUCGGGGACACCUGACACCACCAAAGACACCCCCCGGCAGCCCCUCAGGACCACACAAGAGUUUGUGUAUGCUGGGAAGUCUAUGCCACAUCCUCUCGAGUUGUGCGUGGGGCAGGGUGACGCCUGCCCGGUUCCUUCAGAAGGUUUCCUCCCCUCUUCAGUGGCAGAGGCUUGGUCCCCAGAGCAGCACACUGCAGGAUGGAGAUGGGCCAGAUUGCUGCCUUGAGCCUUUUCCCCUGGAUGAAAUCCUGCCUUGCACAGGGUGCUGACCCCAGCAACGCCUCUCUUUGGAAAAAACAAACAUGCCUGGGACCAGUUCCAGCACUGUCACCAGCUGGUAAGGGGCAACCUCAACACAAGGGCCAAAAAGAUCCCCUCCCUGCCCCAUUCCCAGCUAACUGUGGAUGCAGCACUUCACACAAAGGACUUCAAGAAGCAUCUGGCUGAGAACACCUAUGGAGCAAGACCUGUCCUUGUGAACAAAUCCUUCAUGAUGUGUUUGUCUGCCCAUGCUCUGGGCUGGCUCAAGGUUUGGGUUGUACAGUCAACUUGAACUUCUAAAGUUGUGUUGGGUUUGGGUUUUUUUAGAUGAAAGAACAAAGCAAUAAAAGAAGAGGAAAAAAGGGAAGGAAAAAGGAGUGUGAACACAUUUUUGGAGCAAGGUUAGAGGAAGAGAGCUAUCAAAUCUGUGAGGACAUGGGAAUGCUGCAUGUGAAGAUUUGGGAUCCCCAAGCAUGAGCACCUGCAGCCCUGAUGUCUACAGCUCAGCCCAUCCUCAUCCUCUCUGCUCUUCUCACCAGGGGACAGUCAGGGACUCACAGAUUUGCUUCUGUAUCAAUGACAAGCCACAACACCUGUUCUCCAGAGACUGGGACCACCAAAAAGUCUGAUCUGUUUGGUCACACCCUCCCAACAGCUUGGACCCUGAUGAUCUCCCAGGUCUGGGUGUGUAAGAGCUCUGAUGGAAAUUCAUUAUGAUUUCCUGACCCUUCCCCUGCUGUGAAUUUAAAUUCCUCAAACCCUAAUGCAAGGAAUUGAAGCACAUAUUGAUUAAGGGCUUUUUAUGGAUGCCUGGCAGAGCAUAUUAAAAAUUAUUUAAAACUUGCAUUCCAGUAUUAAUGAC